GUAAGUUUAAUAUAGGGUGUUAAUAUUCAACACCUUUAGAUGGAUAGGUGUGCCGACAAUUUUCACCCCAUCUUGCGAUAAUUCUAAUAAUAUGAAGAAAGUGUGAAAAAAGUUAAUUCUUUGGCAUGGAGUCAUUUUAUGUGUACAAGUUGCCAUGAAAAUGAUAAACUUGAAUUUUGACAAAUGUUCAAAAAAAUCUUUCAUGGAAUGGACUAUCAAGUAUGAAUGUUUAUGAGUUUCAAGCCAAAUGAGCAUAGGCACGGCCAUUUCUAUAUCAUGGUUCGUUAUAAUGAAUCCAAUUUUUUGCACAGAGGUGCGUCUUUGCAUGCCAAACAAUAUUGUUAAAGAGUUAAAAAAAAAUUAGUUGAAAAAAUGUAUUUUCAUUUUCUAAACACAAAAAAUGAGGUAUUUUGUGAAGCAAGAACUGUUAAUAUGGGUCAAAAUCGCUCCCAAUUUUCACACAAAAUAGACCAUAUAUAUAAAGUUAUAAACCAAUUCAAUUAUAAUCCAAAAUACAUGUAUAUUGUACUAAAAAUAAAAAAUAAAACGAAUUUGAGCCCUCUAGUGGCGGUUUUGCAAUAAAACCCGCCUUGCAAAACCGCCACUGGAGGUUUUGCUCUAGUUGAAAGUGUGAUCCGUGUGUUGUAACCCGAUUGGUCGAAUUGGGAGGACCCGGAUCGGUGACGUACAACGAUCGCAACCGCUUAUUCUCACGAUCCUGUGGCCUCUCUUUUCCCGUGUGCCUCCUCUCUCUCUCCGUCGGUCCCCUUUCCUUCUUUCCCUCCCCAACUAUCCUAUUCCUAUCUCCCCACGGAGCCCCUCCUCCUCCAGCCCUCUUCUCCCCCACGACCUCCUCCUCUCCUCUCCUUUCCCUGACUAGAUCCCAGCCGCCUCCCUCCCUCUCCAGAAUUCCUCCUCCCCGACCUCUUCCCCGACGCCUAGCACCCUCCUCCCUUCCCUCUCCCUCCUCCUCACAGGAGGCAGCAGAGGCAAGACCGGAGUGGCAACAACCAUGGCAAUAUUCCUGCUGAUCCGGCCUUGACGCCGCUGGAU
rnacentral:lncRNA from 1 species